rnacentral:rRNA from 1 species
AUGAAGGAUUCUCAGGAUAUUCAGAGCACAACAGAGCUGCAGAUGUCACCCCAAGGUACCAAUGAAGUGCAAAGUAACCAACUAAACACAAUGGCCACUGAUGCUCCUGCAGGAGAUCCUGGUUCUUUGACAGUCGCUAGUAAUGAUAAUAGAAAAGUCUCCCGUGAAGACAUUGAACUUGUCCAGAAUUUGAUAGAGCGCUGUCUGCAGCUAUACAUGACCAAAGGAGAGGUUGUUAGGACGCUUUCUACUCGCGCGAGAAUAGAACCUGGCUUCACUACUUUAGUAUGGCAGAAACUCGAAGAAGAGAACCCUGAAUUCUUUCGGGCUUACUAUAUAAGAUUGAAACUGAAAAGACAGAUUAUCUUGUUCAACCAUUUGUUGCAGCAUCAGUGUAAUUUGAUGAAAUAUCCAGCACAUCCGAAUGUUCCACUGGCUCCAAUGCAAAAUGGGAUGCAUCCUAUGCCAGUUAACAAUCUACCAAUGGGGUAUCCGGUACUUCAGCAACCUCUGAUGCCUGCUCCUGGCCAGCCUCACAUUGAUCCGAUGGUUUGUGGUCUAUCCGGCGGUCAUGUGGUGAAUGGGAUCCCUGCACCAGGUGGCUAUCAACCAAUUCGCAUGAACUCCGGAAAUGACAUGGUUGUUGACAACGGUGCACCUGAAGUUGCACAUGGUGCCAUGUCAUCCGAGAUGGCUGUGAGUCCCUCAUCGGCAGCAUCAAGCAACCAUGCUCCUUUCACUCCGUCGGAGAUACCAGGGAUGGCCAUGGAUACAUCGAUGCUAGAUUCAGCAUUUGGAUCUGACAUAGGGAACACAGAACCUCUGCAAUUAGGGCCAGAUGGGUCGUCAAGGGAUUCCAUCCGAUCCUUGGGGCAGCUUUGGAAUUUCAGCCUCUCUGAUCUUACAGCUGAUUUGACAAGUUUAGGAGAUUUGGAGGCUCUUGAGAACUACGAAGGUACCCCUUUCCUGCCCUCGGACUCGGACCUCUUACUUGAUUCCCCAGACCAUAAUGAUGACAUAGUUGAGUACUUCGCCGACGCCAUCAACGGGAGUCAAUCAGAUGAAGAGAAGUCAUAG